GCCCUUCCUUCCGGAGACGCCUCCUACUCUUAGCUUAGGGGGCGUGGAGACGGAUCUUUUACUUUGAAAAAAUCAUAGUGUUUCAAGCAGGCAUCAUCUCUCUUGCUUGGAUUAACAUGGGAUAAUGAAAUAGGACCUUUGGUGCUUUUUUGUUGGUUUCCAGCACCGAAGUAAUGAUUAAUAGGACAGUCAGGGGCACUCGUAUUCCGCCCAGAGAGGUGAAAUUCUCAGACCAGCGGAAGACGAACCACUGCCAAAGCAUUUGCCCCGGGAUGUUUUCACUGAUCAAGAACGAAAGUUAGGGGAUCGAAGACGACAGAUACGUCGUAGUCUUAACCUAAACCAUGCCGACCAGGGAUUGGAGGAUGUCCCCUUUUGA
rnacentral:rRNA from 1 species